GGACUGCUGACGAAUCCCAAACAGGACGAAGCAACUGUCCAGUGC
rfam:Echinostoma caproni strain Egypt genome assembly, scaffold: ECPE_scaffold0006494